ensembl:lncRNA
AUGGAGGACAAGUGGGGUGGGACCCCAGCCCUGACUACCCAGUCUGUCUCCCAGGAAGGGCCAGGAGCUCUGUGGCAGGCCCGUGGCUCUUGGAACCAAAGCCCCAGUGGCUGGGCAGAGCAGCCUCAGACCUUGGCCACAGAAGACACAAUUGUGCUGCUUCUGCUAAGGAGAGCUUGGAUCCACCUUGUCUCUGGGAACACACAUUUCCCCUUCCACUGCAGGCCCCAGGUAUCACUAGGGAAAUUUCACAUAGCCCUAGAGUUCUUUUAUCUUCUCCCUCAAGGCAUGGGAUUCUCCACAUUUUACCAACUUUUAAAAAAUCCUGGCUGGACGCAGUGACUCACGCCUGUAAUCCCAGAACUUUGGGAGGCUGAAGUGGGCAGAUCACCUGAGGUUGGGAGUUUGAGACCAGACUGACCAAUACGGAGAAACCCCAUCUCUACUAAAAAUACAAAAUUAGCCAGGUGUGGUGGCGUGCUCCUGUAAUCCCAGCUACCUGGGAGGCAGAGGCAGGGGAAUUGCUUGAACCCAGGAGGUGGAGGUUGCGGUGAGCCAAGAUCACACCGUUACAUUCCAGCCUGGGCAAUAAGAGCAAAACUCUGUCUCAAAAAAAAAAAAAAAUCCUUCUUGGUUCUUCUAUUUCUUCCCACAUGGAUUCUCCCAUCCCUCUGUCAGAUUGGGAUGCUGAGCUCUGGGUACACGAGGAGCUCCAUAAAACAGUGUUUCCCACCCCUGCUUCUACAGGCUUGGGAGCCAGAGGAGCUAAGAGCAAACAGGUAGCUCAUGGUUCUGUCUUCCUGCUGGCUGACCCACUGGAGAUCCCACAGCACUACCCAUCACGCCUCUCUGGAUGUUGAGGGUCUUCUCUUACCUGGACUGUGCCCAGAGAUGGAUGCCCUGGGGCAGUACCAGCCUCCAUCACACAGGGCCUCUGUGGAGCUUAGGCUGGCCCUGGAGCAGAACCAGAACUAGACAUGGCUGGCAGUCUUCCAUUGAUGUGGCACCCAAGAUGGGUAGGAAGGAGCCUUCAGGGACACAUGCUGUGGCUGCACCAGGACACCCUGGAGAGAGACCCAUGGUGGCCCACCUUGGACAGUAGAGCCAUGCACUCCAUUCACUCAGUCUCACAGGGCUAGGGAGUAGAAGGUGACUCCCUGCCCUGAGACUCCCCACCUAGCACACUGGAGCUUGGGCUCAGCUGACACUCUCCCUCCCGCCUCACUGUACCUCUGCAGUCCCUAGCCCCUGCUUCAGGCAGGUGCAGGGAGCCUGGACCCCAGCUAUAGCUGGUCAUACUCAUCAUGGCACUGCCCAUGCCCCAUGCUGCCAAAUAUGGGUAGAUGUUGUUUUGUAGGUACAGUUGGGUGGUUUCUUCUGUGUUCUUCCCUGGGAGGCUCCCGAGGCUGGGCCCCAGCUCCUGUCUCCUCUUGAGGACAGAGAGCAGAGUCCCACUGGUGACUCACCUGGGGAGCAAGGAGCAAGCUGGGGGACAGAAGUGGCCUGGAGGGCAGAGGUCUCCAGUGACCCCGUCAGUGGGAUUAGGGACAGAUGCUCCCUGGCUGCAGUGGAACCCUGGACUGCAGGGCCCUGACACAACCACUAGCCCAGGCAGGAGACAAUAGGAGCCUGUGGGGAAAGACGGGAUCCCCUGGGAUUAGGGGUUGAGAGCUUGGGACACCAUUUCCUCCAAGGGCUGAUCUCCGAAGGUGCACCUUGGGCUGUGACCCACACGUUCCCAUGUGAACCAGGGCUGGAUGCUGCACUCUCUAGCCAAGGAGGGCAUGGCCUAGUGAGGCUGGGAAGGCUUUUGCCUUUACCUGGCUCACAGGGGAUGCAGUCUGACUGCUAAACACCCUCUCUCUGUGGCUUGUAGGUGCCCCUGGGGCAGGGAAACUGAGAAACGAAGGUGGUGGAGGCAGGGCAGAAGUGGCAGCAGGACACUCACUUCCAGCUACAGAGGAGGUGUUGGCCAGGCAGAAGAAACUGCAGAAAAGAGAGAGGAGGAGCUCAAAGAGCUGGGUGGCCGCUGCAGCAUGGUGUGGCUGGACAUGGCCGCCUGCACCACCUUCCAUGGCCAGACUCAGGAGUUAUUGCCCCACUGCAGCACAGCUCUGCCCAGUGCAGUGGACCACCUAGGGAAUUCAGCACUAGGCAGACGCUAAAUGGAUGAAAUUUUAGCAAAAGAGACCCAGGUUUGAAAUUGGGAAUGACUCAGUGAUAUCCAACAAAGAGAUCAAAAGACAUAAAGGGAAAUAGAAGUUGUGAAAAUUCUUCCAUGACUUCUGAAGUCAGAAAGCUCAGGCUGAAAGGGAUCUUAGCUAGCACCUGGCCUGGUGCCUCCUGCAGUAGGAAUGAAUACCGUGCACCCAGAGACCCCAGAGAUGCCUUC